rnacentral:rRNA from 1 species
GACGAACGCUGGCGGCGUGCCUAACACAUGCAAGUCGAACGGACUGGCCCUGCUUAUGUGGGGUGCUCGAAUGGCGACAGGGUGAGUUACCUGUGGGUUACCUGUACUUGAGUUUGGGUUAUCUUCAGGCCACUGGGGCUCAUCGCGGAUAGGAUUUAUUGCUGCAUGGUGGGGGCUGGACUGUUUCGGUGGUUGGGGAUGUACUCGCGGAUUAUCAGCUUGUUGGUGGGGUAGUGGCUUACCAAGGCUUUGACGGGUAGCCGGCCUGCGCGGGUGACCGGCCACAUUGGGACUGAGAUGCGGCCCAGACUCCUACGGGAGGCAGCAGUGCAGAAUAUUGCACAAUGGGCGGAAGCCUGAUGCAGCAACGCCGCGUGCGGGAUAACGGCCUUCGGGUUGUAAACCGCUUUCGCCUGUGACGAAGCGUGAGUGACGGUAAUGGGUAAAGAAGCACCGGCUAACUACGUG